rnacentral:rRNA from 1 species
AGGACGCCACAGAGGGUGAGAGCCCCGUACGGUCGGACGCCUAGCCUAUACAAAGCUCCUUCGACGAGUCGAGUAGUUUGGGAAUGCUGCUCAAAAUGGGAGGUAAAUUUCUUCUAAAGCUAAAUACCGGCCAGAGACCGAUAGCGCACAAGUAGAGUGAUCGAAGAGAUGAAAAGCACUUUGAAAAGAGGGUUAAACAGUACGUGAAAUUGUUGAAAGGGAAGCGCCUGCGACCAGACUUGCGCCCCGCAGACCAUCUGGCGUUCUCGCCGGUGCACUCUGCGGGGUGCAGGCCAGCAUCGGUUUUCCCAGGGGGACAAAGGCCGCAGGAACGUAGCUCCCUCGGGAGUGUUAUAGCCUGCGGCGCCAUGCCCCUGGGGGGACCGAGGACCGCGCCUCCGGGAAAGGAUGCUGGCAUAAUGGUCGCCAGCGACCCGUCUUGAAACACGGACCAAGGAGUCAAGCAUUGGGGCGAGUGUUUGGGUGCCAAACCCGCACGCGAAAUGAAAGUAAACGUAGGUGAGAGCUUCGGCGCAUCACCGACCGAUCCUGAUGUCUUCGGAUGGAUUUGAGUAAGAGCCUUACCGCUUGGACCCGAAAGAUGGUGCACUAUGCCUGUAUA